rnacentral:rRNA from 1 species
GACGAACGCUGGCGGCGUGCUUAACACAUGCAAGUCGAACGGAAAGGCCCUGCUUUUGUGGGGUGCUCGAGUGGCGAACGGGUGAGUAACACGUGAGUAACCUGCCCUUGACUUUGGGAUAACUUCAGGAAACUGGGGCUAAUACCGGAUAGGAGCUCCUGCUGCAUGGUGGGGGUUGGAUAGUUUCGGCGGUUGGGGAUGGACUCGCGGCUUAUCAGCUUGUUGGUGGGGUAGUGGCUUACCAAGGCUUUGACGGGUAGCCGGCCUGAGAGGGUGACCGGCCAAACUGGGACUGGGAUACGGCCCAGCCUCCUACGGGAGGCAGUAGUGGGGAAUAUUGCACAAUGGGCGGAAGCCUGAUGCAGCAACGCCGUGUGGGGGAUGACGGCCUGGGGGUUGUAAACUGCUUUCGCCUGUGACGAAGCGUUAGUGACGGUAAUGGGUAAAGAAGCACCGGCUAACUACGUG